rnacentral:misc_RNA from 1 species
UCAGCUCCUGCUGUCUGAC